CCGGCCCAGUGAAAGGGUGUCUUCAACGCCAUAUAUGUUCGGGAUGUAUUUCAAAAAAAGACAAUCCUACCCUUUAAAUUGAAGGGGUAUCAAGAAAUCUCGUGCGUUGAUGUGUUUAGGGGGGUUGUACCGGAGAAGAAGUGAGCCCCGCUAAACGGCGGCAGUAAUUCUAAUUGUCCUAAGGUAGCGAAAAUCCUUGUCGCAUAAGUAGCGACCUGCACGAAUGG
rnacentral:ncRNA from 1 species